CCUACGGGAGGCAGCAGUGAGGAAUAUUGGUCAAUGGAUGAAAAUCUGAACCAGCCAAGUAGCGUGCAGGAUGACGGCCCUAUGGGUUGUAAACUGCUUUUAUGUGAGAAUAAAGUUAGGUAUGUAUACUUAUUUGCAUGUAUCACAUGAAUAAGGACCGGCUAAUUCCGUGCCAGCAGCCGCGGUAAUACGGAAGGUCCAGGCGUUAUCCGGAUUUAUUGGGUUUAAAGGGUGCGUAGGCCGUUUGAUAAGCGUGCUGUGAAAUAUAGUGGCUCAACCUCUAUCGUGCAGCGCGAACUGUCGAACUUGAGUGCGUAGUAGGUAGGCGGAAUUCGUGGUGUAGCGGUGAAAUGCUUAGAUAUCACGAAGAACUCCGAUUGCGAAGGCAGCUUACCGUAACGUUACUGACGCUUAAGCACGAAGGUGCGGGUAUCGAACAGGAUUAGAUACCCCGGUAGUC
rnacentral:rRNA from 1 species